GUCUGCUCUAGUCGCCUUGCACCGUCACCACAGCCGAACCACUUCACCGGCCACCAGGAUUUUGUGCUGUGGAGUGUCUGAUUUCCAGGUGCUAAUCCUCUCCGACAGUAAAUUGCCUUGGCUGUGAUUGAAGGUUAUUGCUUGGAUUCCAGCAACUACCUCUGUUCCGGCAGCAACGUUACCGGUUGAGGCUUCAGAAUUAGGGUUUUGACACGAGACGAGCAUCUCGACGUCCGAGUUGGACCGGACUGAUCUUAUUUUCCU